CCUACGGGAGGCUGCAGUGAGGAAUAUUGCUCAAUGGGCGCGAGCCUGAACCAGCCAUGUAGCGUGAAGGAUGACUGCCCUACGGGUUUUAAACUUCUUUUAUGAAGGAAUAAAGUGAGGCACGUGUGCCUUUUUGUAUUUACUUUAUGAAUAAGAAACGGCUAACUCCGUUCCAGCAGCCGCGGUAAUACGGAGGAUCCGAGCGUUACCCGGAUUUAUUGGGUUUAAAGGGAGCGUAGAUGGGUUGUUAAGUCAGUUGUGAAAGUUUGCGGCUCAACCGUAAAAUUGCAAUUGAUACUGGCAGUCUUGAGUACAGUUGAGGUAGGCGGAAUUCGUGGUGUAGCGGUGAAAUGCUUAGAGAUCACGAAGAACUCCGAUUGCGAAGGCAGCUUACUAAACUGCGACUGACAUUGAUGCUCGAAAGUGUGGGUAUCAAACAGGAUUAGAUACCCGGGUAGUC
rnacentral:rRNA from 1 species